UACGUAGGGUGCGAGCGUUAAUCGGAAUUACUGGGCGUAAAGCGUGCGCAGGCGGUUUCUUAAGCCAGAUGUGAAAUCCCCGGGCUUAACCUGGGAAUGGCAUUUGGAACUGGGAGACUAGAGUGUGUCAGAGGGGGGUGGAAUUCCACGUGUAGCAGUGAAAUGCGUAGAGAUGUGGAGGAACACCGAUGGCGAAGGCAGCCCCCUGGGAUAACACUGACGCUCAUGCACGAAAGCGUGGGGAGCAAACAGG
rnacentral:rRNA from 1 species